rnacentral:rRNA from 1 species
UACGUAGGGGGCAAGCGUUAUCCGGAUUUACUGGGUGUAAAGGGAGCGCAGGCGGCGUGGCAAGUCAGAUGUGAAAACCCGGGGCCCAACCCCGGGAGUGCAUUUGAAACUGCCAUGCUGGAGUGCCGGAGAGGUAAGCGGAAUUCCUAGUGUAGCGGUGAAAUGCGUAGAUAUUAGGAGGAACAUCAGUGGCGAAGGCGACUAUCUGGACAGCAACUGACACUGAGGCACGAAAGCGUGGGGAGCAAACAGG